CUAAAUUUAAAAGGAACUUAAUUUUUUUUGGGUAAGUUAGAUUCUUUAGGUUAUGGGCGUUAUACUCAUGGUGGAGUCAUAAGAGUUAGCUGAGGUGUGCUCUUAUGAUUCUGAAAGUCAAAAAGAUUGGAAUAAAGAAUCUCUACAAGGUAGAAGGAAGCAUAUUGAUUGGAAAAAUGCAAUUUGAGGUAAGAGGCAACCCCAACAAUCAAGAGUACAAGAAAGUAUCCAAGAAAAAGCUAACAUUUGCAAAAGUUAUUGUAACGCCCUCACCAUAGGUAAUUCGUACAUUUUACUAUUCCGAUGACUAAUGUCUGUUCGG
rnacentral:misc_RNA from 1 species